CAGUUCAUCCAAGGUGCAAAUUUGAACUUUUCUCGUAUCUAUAUGACAAAGCCAGUUUUGACUAGCAUUGUCCCAGGAGCUGGUCCUCUUCACUCAUCAGCAUACUUUGUUAAAUUCUACUUGCCUGAUAAGUUCCAGGCUGAUCCACCUCUUCCCCUUCCGGAGCUGAACCUUCAACCUGAUCCAUGGACUAGUCAUUGCAUUGCUGUUAGGAAGUUUUCAGGAUUUGCAAGAGAUAGCAACAUUGUUAAAGAAGCUGAGAAACUGGCUGUGAGCUUGAGUAGAUCUCCAUGGGCAAAUUCCACUGCUUCUUCGAGUGAAUAUGCUUACUCUAUAGCCCAGUAUAAUUCCCCCUUCCGGAUCAUUGGACGUGUCAAUGAAGUGUGGGUGGAUGUUGCUGGAUCUGGAGCAAGUGGUUGCGAAUCCAAUCAAGUUGCUGUAUACUGAUUAUGACCGCGAGCUUGAAGCUUCUUCAUCGUUGUUGUACAUCUCCCUUUUUAGAGACCAAAGAAGCAUGAAUGGUUGCUUCUUAUGUACACAUUAUCAUGCUCGUGUUCUGUAAAUUUGGAUUUCCUUACUGGGACUACAUGGUUUCAUGGAAGUGUGAUUAAUUCCUGUAAUUCCNAUUUUCAUGGUGACGGGCGACUCUAGAUGGUCGGUCAUUAUUAAGCACUGUUUAUUAGAUGUGUCGUUCUGAAGUCUGAACCAGUUGUUUAAUGUUAUAUGUUAAAAGAGAAGAUGUUCCUGGCUUAACAGAUACAUAGACUUCUAGUAAAUGCUAGCAGUGAUAGGUUUGUGGCUCUUCUAGUGGUGUAUGAGGAUCUGGAGAUGUUCUUUUAGUAGAUUUAACUCAGUUAUGGUUGCAGUUACGAACAAAUACAGUUGAACAGAACAGUGCACAAGAAAGUUUCCAUGUCUCUGACUAAUAAUAUAAAUCAAUCAGCUAAGCCUCAAUCUCAAUUGUUUUGGAUCAGCCAUAUAAAUCUUUUGUAUUGAUUAAGGUUGUGUGUGUCUAGGUGAAUACGUAGGCAUGAACGUAGUAUUCAGAUAAUCUAUACCCUAUUUUAUCUGAAUUUGGGACUGGCUCUGGUAUAAUCAGAGUUCAUGUCUAGAUGAAUUCAAAGCUUACGUUUAUAUGUUCACUCAUUGUCGUACAGAUUGUUUCAGUUCAUCCAAGGUGCAAAUUUGAACUUUUCUCGUAUCUAUAUGACAAAGCCAGUUUUGACUAGCAUUGUCCCAGGAGCUGGUCCUCUUCACUCAUCAGCAUACUUUGUUAAAUUCUACUUGCCUGAUAAGUUCCAGGCUGAUCCACCUCUUCCCCUUCCGGAGCUGAACCUUCAACCUGAUCCAUGGACUAGUCAUUGCAUUGCUGUUAGGAAGUUUUCAGGAUUUGCAAGAGAUAGCAACAUUGUUAAAGAAGCUGAGAAACUGGCUGUGAGCUUGAGUAGAUCUCCAUGGGCAAA
rnacentral:lncRNA from 1 species